GGUAAUUCCAGCUCCAAUAGCGUAUACUAAAGUUGUUGCGGUUAAAAAGCUCGUAGUUGGAUCUUGGAAUGUGUUCAAGCGGGUCAGCUUCUGGCUGUGUGCUGCUUGACGUGUUCUUCUAUUUGGUUUUGGUGCGGUGCGCUUAACUGCGUGUCGCUCCCGGCCGAAACGUUUACCUUGAAAAAAUUAGAGUGUUCAAAGCAGACCUGUUUGAGUCUGAAUAUUCGUGCAUGGAAUAAUGAAAUAUGAAUUCGGUUCUAUUUUGUUGGUUUUCGGAACUCGAGUUAAUGAUCAAGAGGGACAGACGGGGGCAUUCGUACUCUGCCGUUAGAGGUGAAAUUCUUGGAUCGGCGGAAGACGCGCAACUGCGAAAGCAUUUGCCAAGAAUGUUUUCUUUAAUCAAGAACGAUAGUCGGAGGUUCGAAGACGAUCAGAUACCGUCCUAGUUUCGACUGUAAACUAUGCCAGCUAACGAUCAGACAGAGUUCUCUACGACUUGUCUGGCAGUUUCCGGGAAACCAAAGCGUUUGGGUUCCGGGGGAAGUAUGGUUGCAAAGCUGAAACUUAAAGGAAUUGACGGAAGGGCACCACCAGGAGUGGAGCCUGCGGCUUAAUUUGACUCAACACGGGGAAACUCACCCGGCCCGGACACAGUGAGGAUUGACAGAUUGAGAGUUCUU
rnacentral:rRNA from 1 species